rnacentral:rRNA from 1 species
GAUAACACUUAGAAAUAGGUGCUAAUACCGCAUAAGCGCACGGCUCCGCAUGGGGCAGUGUGAAAAACUCCGGUGGUAUACGAUGGAUCCGCGUCUGAUUAGCUAGUUGGCGGGGUAACGGCCCACCAAGGCAGCGAUCAGUAGCCGGCCUGAGAGGGUGGACGGCCACAUUGGGACUGAGACACGGCCCAAACUCCUACGGGAGGCAGCAGUGGGGAAUAUUGCACAAUGGGGGAAACCCUGAUGCAGCGACGCCGCGUGAGUGAAGAAGUAUCUCGGUACGUAAAGCUCUAUCAGCAGGGAAGAAAAUGACGGUACCUGACUAAGAAGCCCCGGCUAACUACGUGCCAGCAGCCGCGGUAAUACGUAGGGGGCAAGCGUUAUCCGGAUUUACUGGGUGUAAAGGGAGCGUAGACGGCAGCACAAGUCUGGAGUGAAAUCCCGGGGCUUAACCCCGGAACUGCUUUGGAAACUGUGCGGCUGGAGUGCAGGAGGGGUAAGCGGAAUUCCUAGUGUAGCGGUGAAAUGCGUAGAUAUUAGGAGGAACACCGGUGGCGAAGGCGGCUUACUGGACUGUAACUGACGUUGAGGCUCGAAAGCGUGGGGAGCAAACAGGAUUAGAUACCCUGGUAGUCCACGCCGUAAACGAUGAUUACUAGGUGU